GGGCGUAGUCAAACACGCGCAUCUGGAACGCCCGCAUUCUCUCCACUUCUCUUUCCCGCUUUGAUCUGUGAGGAUUCGCGUGUGGGCGAGAGACUGAAGUGAAAAAUCGGAUUGCGCACUGUGGCAAAGAAACCUCAGUUGAAGACAGGAGCCACGGGCCUGUUUAUCUAGAAACGGAGGGGGCACUGUCCUGGCAUGCCCCCCCCCCGGAGAAAGAAGCGUUGAGGGGACGGAAUGUCUCGUGACGUGAACGCUGAGGGCACGAGGGCGUACAUAUUUAUAACCGGUUACAUAUGGUUUCCCUGGUUACAAAGCCGAAGAAAAUCUCCCCACGUCAGCCGAACCCGAACAAUUAAUCUUGAGACGAGAUCGCAUUCGAUCGUUUGCUUUAGGCGGGAAGGCCUUUGAAAGCCGAAGAUUAAAGACUUUGCCAUCCGCCUGGAGCCGCAGUUGACAAAGAGGAUUGCCUUUGUGCACACACGGAACAGCUCGUCGAACAUGAACGAGUAUUUCUGCAACAAAACUGUUGUUUGGCGGGGGGGGGGGGGCGGGGGGGGGGUGGGGUUGUAGGGGCAGAACAGUCAGGCACCCCGGCCUGUUUAAAGUAUACCUUACACACUAAGAAACCCCCAAAGUUAUCACCUGUUCUUUAAACUGCAAUUCGUUUCGUUCUGUUUAUCAGGAGCAACUUGAGAGCAUCUUAGUCAACUAUUAAACACAGAAAAAGAGA